rnacentral:lncRNA from 1 species
GUGGGUGGGUGCUUGGGGCGGGAGUGUUUCUCCGGCUCAUGUCAGAACACUAGGGAGCCAGGUCCGGAGAGUAGGAGGAAAGAGACACAUUUAUGCCUGUCCUCGAGGCAUAAUAUGUGUAAAAAUGCCAGACAGAGCAUAUGUCUCUAGCCCAAAUAUCCAAAGGCUUCCUAUCGCAAAGUAAAAAAAUAAAAAGGUGACCUUUGAGCAAGGACCUAAAAUAGAAGAAAACAGGCAAGUAACCAGAAUUACUAUCAUAGAAGUCACCACAUUGGAGAGGGACCUAACCUGAGCUUCCUGGAUUAAAGGAUGAAUAGGAGUUGACCAGAUAAAAAGGAAGAGAGAGAACUUCCACACCAGGCAGAGGGAGCAGCUUGUACAAAGGAGGCAUGACGUGGUUCUGGAGUUAAUGGUUCUGAUGAUGCUUUCCUGAUUCUCAGAGAGGGGCUGGGGUGAAGAGAUCCCGAGAGCCAGCUCCUGAUUGUGGUAAAUAUGAGAGUAACUGUUGGUGCCCCAAUUUUGUGGCAUUGUUCUGGGAGUCAUGCACUGCAUAAUGAUGUUUCGGACAAGGACAGACCAUAU